GACGUAGGGCGCGAGCGUUGUCCGGAUUUAUUGGGCGUAAAGAGCGUGUAGGCGGUUUGGUAGGUCCGCUGUGAAAACUCGAGGCUCAACCUCGAGACGCCGGUGGAAACCAUCAGGCUAGAGUCCGGAAGAGGAGAGUGGAAUUCCUGGUGUAGCGGUGAAAUGCGCAGAUAUCAGGAAGAACACCCGUGGCUAAGGCGGCUCUCUAGUACGGUACUGACGCUGAGACGCGAAAGCGUGGGGAGCAAACAGG
rnacentral:rRNA from 1 species